rnacentral:tRNA from 1 species
AAGUGGCGCAAUGGGUCUGUACAUCUGGCUGUUAACCAGAAGGUUGGUGGUUUGACUCUACCCAGGGAUU